AUUGAACGCUGGCGGCAUGCUUUACACAUGCAAGUCGAACGGCAGCGCGGGGCAACCUGGCGGCGAGUGGCGAACGGGUGAGUAAUACAUCGGAACGUACCCAGAAGUGGGGGAUAACGUAGCGAAAGUUACGCUAAUACCGCAUACGUUCUACGGAAGAAAGUGGGGGACCUUCGGGCCUCAUGCUUUUGGAGCGGCCGAGGUAUGAUUAGCUAGUUGGUAGGGUAAAGGCCUACCAAGGCGACGAUCAGUAGCGGGUCUGAGAGGACGACCGGCCACACGGGGACUGAGAAACGGGCCAGGCUCCUACGUGAGGCAGCAGGAGGGAAUUUUGGACAAUGGGCGCAAGCCUGAUCCAGCAAUUCCGCGUGAGUGAAGAAGGCCUUCGGGUUGUAAAGCUCUUUUGUCAGGGAAGAAACGGCUGAGGAUAAUACCUUCGGCUAAUGACGGUACCUGAAGAAUAAGCACCGGCUAACUACGUGCCAGCAGCCGCCGUAAAAC
rnacentral:rRNA from 1 species